CCAGCUUCAGGCCCACUUCCCCACUCUGGUCCCUUACCAGCUUCAGGCCCACUUCCCCACUCUGGCCCCUUACCAGCUUCAGGCCCACUUCCCCACUCUGAUCCCCUUACCAGCUUCAGGCCCACUUCCCCACUCUGGCCCCUUACCAGCUUCAGGUCCACUUCCCCACUCUGAUCCCCUUACCAGCUUCAGGUCCACUUCCCCACUCUGAUCCCCUUACCAGCUUCAGGUCCACUUCCCCACUCUGAUCCCCUUACCAGCUUCAGGCCCACUUCCCAAACACUCUGGCCCCUUACCAGCUUCAGGUCCACUUCCCAAACACUCUGGCCCCUUACCAGCUUCAGGCCCACUUCCCCACUCUGGCCCCUUACCAGCUUCAGGUCCACUUCCCCACUCUGGCCCCUACCAGCUUCAGGUCCACUUCCCCACUCUGGCCCCUACCAGCUUCAGGUCCACUUCCCCACUCUGGCCCCUUACCAGCUUCAGGCCCACUUCCCCACUCUGGUCCCUUACCAGCUUCAGGCCCACUUCCCCACUCUGGCCCCUUACCAGCUUCAGGUCCACUUCCCCCCACUCUGGCCCCUUACCAGCUUCAGGCCCACUUCCCCACUCUGGUCCCUUACCAGCUUCAGGCCCACUUCCCCACUCUGGCCCCUACCAGCUUCAGGUCCACUUCCCCACUCUGGCCCCUUACCAGCUUCAGGUCCACUUCCCCACUCUGGCCCCUUACCAGCUUCAGGCCCCCUUCCCCCACUCUGGCCCCUUACCAGCUUCAGGCCCACUUCCCAAACACUCUGAUCCCCUUACCAGCUUCAGGCCCACUUCCCCACUCUGGUCCCUUACCAGCUUCAGGCCCACUUCCCCACUCUGGCCCCUUACCAGCUUCAGGCCCACUUCCCCACUCUGGCCCCUUACCAGCUUCAGGUCCACUUCCCCCCACUCUGAUCCCCUUACCAGCUUCAGGUCCACUUCCCCACUCUGAUCCCCUUACCAGCUUCAGGCCCACUUCCCCACUCUGGCCCCUUACCAGCUUCAGGCCCACUUCCCCACUCUGAUCCCCUUACCAGCUUCAGGUCCACUUCCCCACUCUGGCCCCUUACCAGCUUCAGGUCCACUUCCC
rnacentral:lncRNA from 1 species